rnacentral:rRNA from 1 species
AUUGAACGCUGGCGGCAUGCCUUACACAUGCAAGUCGAACGGUAACAGGUCUUCGGAUGCUGACGAGUGGCGAACGGGUGAGUAAUACAUCGGAACGUGCCUAGUAGUGGGGGAUAACUACUCGAAAUAGUGGCUAAUACCGCAUGAGAUCUAUGGAUGAAAGCAGGGGAACGCAAGACCUAGUGCUACUAGAGAGGCCGAUGGCAGAUUAGGUAGUUGGUGGGAUAAAAGCUUACCAAGCCGACGAUCUGUAGCUGGUCUGAGAGGACGAUCAGCCACACUGGGACUGAGACACGGCCCAGACUCCUACGGGAGGCAGCAGUGGGGAAUUUUGGACAAUGGGCGCAAGCCUGAUCCAGCAAUGCCGCGUGCAGGAUGAAGGCCUUUGGGUUGUAAACUGCUUUUGUACGGAACGAAAAGCCCUGGGUUAAUACCCUGGGGUCAUGACGGUACCGUAAGAAUAAGCACCGGCUAACUACGUGCCAGCCGCCGCCGUAAGAC